rnacentral:rRNA from 1 species
UACGUAGGGGGCGAGCGUUGUCCGGAUUUACUGGGCGUAAAGGGCUCGUAGGCGGUUUGGUAAGUCGGGUGUGAAAACCCCAGGCUCAACCUGGGGACGCCACCUGAUACUGCUAUGACUUGAGUCUGGUAGGGGAGCACGGAAUUCCUGGUGUAGCGGUGAAAUGCGCAGAUAUCAGGAGGAACACCGGUGGCGAAGGCGGUGGUCUGGGCCAGUACUAACGCUGAGGAGCGAAAGCGUGGGGAGCAAACAGG